AAAUGGAAUGUUGAAAAUCAAUGAAGUGAACAAGAUGAGUGAACUCCACCCUAACCUGGAUUUAGGAAGAAAUGAUGAUUACUUUCUUUUAAAGGAAACGAACAUCACUAUGUUCCAGGAUCCUAAGCGCAGGAAGGAGGGCAUGAAGCUGUUGGGAAGAUGAAGAUGGCAAAUUCAUGGGGGAAAGUGACCAGAUCAGCAAAACAUCCCGCCGCACCAGCACCAAAAAACUUGACCGCAGCAGUUGGUGGCAGGUCGCUAGGUUUGAUUCCAACCAUUUUUUUCUGUACUUCUGACAGGAUCUUACUUUAUUUUUAU